rnacentral:rRNA from 1 species
GGGGAAUUUUCCGCAAUGGGCGAAAGCCUGACGGAGCAACGCCGCGUGAGGGAAUAAGGCCUCUGGGCUGUAAACCUCUUUUCUCAAGGAAGAAGAUCUGACGGUACUUGAGGAAUAAGCCACGGCUAAUUCCGUGCCAGCAGCCGCGGUAAUACGGGAGUGGCAAGCGUUAUCCGGAAUUAUUGGGCGUAAAGCGUCCGCAGGCGGCCUUUCAAGUCUGCCGUUAAAGCGUGGAGCUUAACUCCAUUAAGGCAGUGGAAACUGUUGGGCUUGAGUGUGGUAGGGGCAGAGGGAAUUCCCGGUGUAGCGGUGAAAUGCGUAGAUAUCGGGAAGAACACCAGUGGCGAAGGCGCUCUGCUGGGCCAUAACUGACGCUCAUGGACGAAAGCCAGGGGAGCGAAAGGGAUUAGAUACCCCUGUAGUC